UAUUGGUCAAUGGGCGUAAGCCUGAACCAGCCAAGUCGCGUGAGGGAGGACGGCCCUACGGGUUGUAAACCUCUUUUGCCGGGGGGCAAACGGCGGCACGCGUGCCGUCCUGAGGGUACCCGGAGAAAAAGCAUCGGCUCACUCCGUGACAGCAGCCGCGGUAAUACGGAGGAUGCGAGCGUUAUCCGGAUUUAUUGGGUUUAAAGGGUGCGUAGGCGGGCUGUUAAGUCAGCGGUCAAAUGUCGGGGCUCAACCCCGGCCUGCCGUUGAAACUGGCGGCCUCGAGUGGGCGAGAAGUAUGCGGAAUGCGUGGUGUAGCGGUGAAAUGCAUAGAUAUCACGCAGAACUCCGAUUGCGAAGGCAGCAUACCGGCGCCCUACUGACGCCGAGGCACGAAAGCGUGGGUAUCGAACAGGA
rnacentral:rRNA from 1 species